GGGGAGUGACGUCAAGUACUCCAUGGCCCUUAUAGGUGGGGCUACACACGUCAUACAAUGGCCGGUACAAAGGGCAGCAAACCCGCGAGGGGGAGCCAAUCCAUCAAAGCCGGUCGUAGUCCGGAUCGCAGUCUGCAACUCGACUGCGUGAAGUCGGAAUCGCUAGUAAUCGUGGAUCAGCAUGUCACGGUGAAUACGUUCCCGGGUCUU
rnacentral:rRNA from 1 species